GCAGCGGUAGCUCAGAGUUAGAGCGCCGGCCUUGUAAGUCGGAUGCCGAAGGUUAAAAUCCCUCCCGCUGCU
rnacentral:tRNA from 3 species